GCCAGGGUAUUACGAGCCCAAGCUUAAAACCCAAAGGACUUGACGGUGUCCCAUCCCUCUAGAGGAGCCUGUUCUAUAAUCGAUUACCCACGAUUUACCUUACCCCUUCUUGAAUAUUCAGUCUGUAUACCUCCGUCGCAAGCUUACCCUGUGAACGCAUAUUUAGUGAGCCAAAAGAUCUCACAUCCAUACGUCAGGUCAAGGUGCAGCCCACGAAGGGGGAAGAAAUGGGCUACAAUCUCUACCCUAGAACAAACGGAAGAUUACAUGAAACACAAAUCCCAAGGUGGAUUUAGUAGUAAAAAGAAAGCAGAGCAUUCUUUUUAAUCAGGCGCUGGGACGCGUACACACCGCCCGUCACCCUCCUCAAAAGAAAUAAAAUGUUAAUAACCCCAUAUAAUUUUAUAGAAGAGGCAAGUCGUAACAUGGUAAGCGUACUGGAAAGUGCGCUUGGAAUAACAAAAUGUAGCUUAAUAAAAGCAUCCUGCUUACACCAGGACUAUGUCUGUGAAACUCUAACCAUUUUGAGCUAAAAGUUUAGCCCAUCUAAUUCUAAUAAAACAAGCCCAUUAAACUAAACAAAUAAAACAUUUUCUUAACCCAGUAAAGGCGAUUAAAAAGCAUUUAGGAG
rnacentral:rRNA from 1 species